ACUCAUGUUUUUUCCCCUUUGGUUUCUUCUUUACAUUUCUUUUUCUUUUUGUUUCUUUACUCACCGAAUCAAAUACGAUUUUGCUGCCUUCUCUCUCUUUCUCCGUGUUGUUUCAACUUUCGAGGCUCUGUUUUCUCUGUUUCACAAAUUACAAAGGUUUUCUUUCUCUCCUCUCUUUGUUCAUGUCCCUUUGCAGCAUAAAAUGAUGUGAAUUAUUGGUGAUUUCUAGUACUAUAUACUUGGCCUCUGCAGUUCAAGUCUUUUACUCAUUUAUUUGCGGAAUUGUUACCAUAACUUCUUUGAUCGCCCCGUUUCUAGCACCGAUCGUUGCCUUUCUUUCCCGCCGUUUUCUAGCACAAGUUCGGUUUUCUUUCUUUUCUUUUGCUCAACGAAAAGUUCGCUGGUUACUCAGAAUCUGAAUAAAAAACGAGGAGAGGAACAGGGAAGAAGACGAUAAGA
rnacentral:lncRNA from 1 species